rfam:Otolemur garnettii contig155723, whole genome shotgun sequence.
GCUGGGCAUUAUGGCAAGUGCCUGUAGUCCCAGCUACUUGGGAGGCUGAGGCAAGAGAAUUGCUUAAGCCCAGGAGUUGGAGGUUGCUGUGAGCUGUGAUGCCACAGCACUCUACCUAGGGUGACAGCUUGAGGCUCUGUCUCAAAAAAAAAGCAACCAAUAAGUAUUUAUUUCUGUUUUUUUUUUUUUUUCUGAGACAGUGUCUUACUAUGUCACCCUCGGUAGAGGGCUGUGGUAUCACAGCUCACAAAAACCUCAAACUCUUGGGCUAAAGCAAUUCUCUUGCCUCAG